rnacentral:rRNA from 1 species
AUUGAACGCUGGCGGCAGGCCUAACACAUGCAAGUCGAACGAGUGGGGGACGGGUGAGUAAUGCUUGGGAAUGUAGCUUAUGGAGGGGGAUAACUAGGGGACACUGUAGCUAACACCGCGUACUAUAGGAUGAGCCCAAGUGGGUUUAGGUAGUUGGUGGGGUAAAGGCUCACCAAGGCGACGAACUCGAGCUGGUCUGAGAGGAGGACCAGCCACACUGGAACUGAGACACGGCCCAGACUCCUACGGGAGGCAGCAGUGGGGAAGAUUGCGCAAUGGGGGCAAGCCUGACGCAGCCAUGCCGCGUGAGUGAAGAAGGCCUUCGGGUUGUAAAGCACUUUCAGCGGGGAGGCGUUACUCGCAGAAGAAGCACCGGCUAACUCCGUGCCAGCAGCCGCGGUAAUUC